rnacentral:rRNA from 1 species
UACGAACUGUGCAAACGUUAUUCGGAAUCACUGGGCUUAAAGGGCGCGUAGGCGGUCCGACAAGUCAGGGGUGAAAUCCUGCAGCUUAACUGCAGAAGUGCCUUUGAUACUGUCGGUCUUGAGGGAGAUAGGGGUGUGCGGAACUCACAGUGGAGCGGUGAAAUGCGUUGAUAUUGUGAGGAACGCCGGAGGCGAAAGCGGCGCACUGGAUCUCUUCUGACGCUGAGGCGCGAAAGCUAGGGGAGCAAACGGG